CCGUCGCCAAAAAAAUUUCGGUCAGUGUACCAUUUUAGGGGUCAAAAAUUUUUUCCGGACAUACAAAAAUUUUCCGUGAAGCCAAAAAUUUUUCCCGAUAUCUUAAAUUUUCGCCAUUUCUUCAAAAUAUUUUUCUAAAUUCCAAAUUUUUAUAAAUAUAAACUAUAAAUUACCUGAAUCUCGUGAUUUUCCUACAAAAAGCAUCGUUGGAAAUGUGAUUUAUCACGUAUUAUUUUACAACUAAAAGGGCACUUCUGCCCCCCCUAGCAAAAGGCAAGGGGGGCAGCCGCCCCCCCUGCCCCCCCAGUUCCGGCGUCCCUG
rnacentral:lncRNA from 1 species